UACGUAGGGUGCAAGCGUUAUCCGGAUUCACUGGGGUUAAAGGGUGCGUAGGAGGGCAGGUAAGUCAGUGGUGAAAUCCCCGAGCUUAACUUGGGAACUGCCGUUGAUACUAUCUGUCUUGAAUGUUGUGGAGGUGAGCGGAAUAUGUCAUGUAGCGGUGAAAUGCUUAGAUAUGACAUAGAACACCAAUUGCGAAGGCAGCUCGCUACACAAUUAUUGACUCUGAGGCACGAAAGCGUGGGGAUCAAACAGG
rnacentral:rRNA from 1 species